GGGUCCAUAGCUCAAGGGCAGAGCACGCGGCUCAUAACCGUUAGGUUGCAGGUUCGAAUCCUGCUGGACCCA
rnacentral:tRNA from 2 species